rnacentral:lncRNA from 1 species
AGACUUCUACUUCCUUUGGAAGCUUCAACAAUUACCAAUGAGUACCAAUUACCUGCAGAAAAAAAUAACAGAACUAACCACAUCCUGGUGUUUAGGCCUUGUUGUAGCCGUCUCCUGCUGCUGACUUAAUUAAGACCUGCCAGUCUGAGACCAGCUCUUCCCAGCGGUCUGCCGCAGUCUGUCACAGCCUGCUUUCAGCGUGACAGGUAAGGGCAUGGUGGCACUCAGCCGUCUCCUGCUGCUGACUUAAUUAAGGCCUGCCAGUCUGAGACCAGCUCUUCCCAGCAGUCUGCCGCAGUCUGUCACAGCCUGCUUUCAGUAGCCGUCUCCUGCUGCUGACUUAAUUAAGACCUGCCAGUCUGAGACCAGCUCUUCCCAGCGGUCUGCCGCAGUCUGUCACAGCCUGCUUUCAGCGUGACAGGUAAGGGCAUGGUGGCACUCUGUUCUGUUUGCCUUGUGCACUUGUGCACAGAAAGGAGGAUGUCAGCUGUCCCUACACCAAACUGCAC